GCGCAGCAGUCGCGAAUAGUCUACAAUGGACGAAAGUCUGAUAGUGCGACGCCGUGUGUGCGAUUAAUUCCUUCGGGAUGUAAAGCACUUUUCUAUGAGAUAAAAGCUCUUUAGGUUAAUAGCUUAUUGAGACGGAUAUUAUUAUAGGAAUAAGCUCCGGCUAACUCCGUGCCAGCAGCCGCGGUAAUACGGAAGGAGCGAGCGUUGUCCGGAUUUACUAGGCGUAAAGGGCUAGUAGGCGACUAAUUAAGUUAUAUGUUAAAUCCCACGGCUCAACUGUGGUCCUGCAUGUAAUACUGGUUAGAUAGAGUACUGUAGAGGAAGGCAGAAUUCCUGGAGUAGCGGUGGAAUGCGCAGAUAUCAGGAAGAAUACCAAAAGCGAAGGCAGCCUUCUGGGCAGUUACUGACGCUGAAUAGCGAAGGUGUGGGUAGCGAACAGGAUU
rnacentral:rRNA from 1 species